UUGUUUUAGUCUAGAAUCUUUUGUCAUUUCUAUUAUUAAAAAAUCUUCCCUCUUAAAGUUCUUUCUCUCUUUCUCUCUGCUAUUUGAACAUGUUGACUACCUUUUCCUUUUCCAAGUUUUCUCCCUGUUGGCUUCUGUGGCACCACGUUCUCCUGGUUCUGCUCGUAGCUCUCUGACUAAGCUUUCCCCUUCACCUACUGACCCUCGAUGCUGUGCACAGAGUUAGUCUACUUCCACUGGACUCAAAGACUGGAACUACUCCAGACCAGAAAAUAACAAAUCAGUUUCACAAGAGGGAAGUCCUGAAAGAAAUAGAUGUGAACUAUGUUCCUUCGCCUCCUCCUCCCACAUAGAUUGACUUAUACCUGGAACAGCUAGCAGUAUUAGGUGUCAUUGGGAACUGAUUUCUUUUUUCCUGCUUACAAUAUGAAGUACCCUAUGAUGAGAGGACCUGAUCCUGCUGCUGCUCCAUAUAGUACUCAGAAAUCAUCUGUUCUACCUCUUUAUGAAGUAAGUUCUUUCUUACAUCUUUGUGUUCCGAAAUAAUCUGUAGAAUUUAGAAGUGUAAUUUUGUUAUAUUGCAUUCUAGAAUACUUUUCAGGAGCUCCAGGUAAUGAGGCGGAGCCUGAAUUUGUUUAGAACACAAAUGAUGGAUUUAGAAUUGGCAAUGCUGCGUCAGCAAACCAUGGUUUAUCAUCAUAUGACUGAGGAGGAGAGGUUUGAAGUUGAUCAGCUCCAGGGUUUGAGAAAUUCAGUCCGAAUGGAACUUCAGGACCUGGAACUGCAGCUGGAAGAGC
rnacentral:sRNA from 1 species